UACGUAGGUGGCAAGCGUUAUCCGGAAUUAUUGGGCGUAAAGAGGGAGCAGGCGGCAGCAAAGGUCUGUGGUGAGAGACUGAAGCUUAACUUCAGUAAGCCAUAGAAACCGGGCAGCUAGAGUGCAGGAGAGGAUCGUGGAAUUCCAUGUGUAGCGGUGAAAUGCGUAGAUAUAUGGAGGAACACCAGUGGCGAAGGCGACGAUCUGGCCUGCAACUGACGCUCAGUCCCGAAAGCGUGGGGAGCAAAUAGG
rnacentral:rRNA from 1 species